AUCACAUGUUUUCAUAUAUUUCAUAUAGGUACACUACAUAUUUCACUUUUGACAUGUUAAUGAACUGAAAAAGCAAAUUAUAUUAUAAGUUUAAUUAUUAUUCUCCGAAAAUGAAGUUUAUCUAUGUUUUUUUUACAUUUUUAACAAUGUUCGUUUUGUGUUACGGCCAGUGGGUGUCCUAUGCACAAUUUAUUGAGGAGCAGCAAAAAUAUGUAGGUACACCUACCGAGGCAAUUAAAUGUAAAUUUCCACCAAAAAGGAGAUAGAUUUUUGAAGAAUCCUAUUAUAUUUGUAACAGCCAUCACUAGGACGACCGAAAAUAUUUUUUAAUAAUAAAAUAAAAGCCAAUAUAAU
rnacentral:lncRNA from 1 species